rnacentral:lncRNA from 1 species
AACCUCUUUGCCUAUGGUGUAUGCUUUUUAUAAUUGUUUAAUUGUGUAAUUUUCUAUUUUUCCAGUUAAAAUAAAACACAAGAGAGCAAACAUUGAUGGAAAAUACCCACAAACAUCUGUGGCAUCAGGAGCAGAAUUUUGUGCCAUUGACCUUUAAAGAAGGUGAAGAUGCCAGUCUGGCUAACAUGAUAGGCAACAGGAAUGAUGGUGCAGGGGAUGCAGGCAGCCUCGCUGGCAGGAAGGUGGAUAACACAGCUGUGGGAACCAACUCUAAGGCUUCUGCUACCCGUGGCCUGACAUCCCUAACUCUGCACCUUAAGGGAAAUCAUCAGUGACUCCACUUCAAUGCUCACUGUGUUAAAUGGCACAAAAAGCCUGUGAAAUCUUGCAUUCUCUUCCCCAGGCCAAGGAAGGAGUGAGAGAAAAGCAUGGGUGGAAUAUGUGAUUUACUUGCAGAAGGGGGAUUGUAAAUUUUGAUUCUCAUUCUCUAACACCCAUACCGGGACCUUAUCACAUCUACUUCCUUCAUACUGUGGGCUGCCACUUGCCCUUCCCAGCCCCAGGGUCCCCUGGAUGAGAGAGACUUUGUGAGCUAUCUUCUGAGGAGGCUGCAAUCACUGCUUAGCUGGCCUUCCUGGCGGCUUUAUCGGCAUUGAUUUUGUGGUCAUACAAAUCUUCCUUAAUACAAUUUUGAAAGCAUCACUUCCACUCUUAAAACUUUG